rnacentral:rRNA from 1 species
GACGAACGCUGGCGGCGUGCUUAACACAUGCAAGUCGAACGGUAAGGCCCUUCGGGGUACACGAGUGGCGGACGGGUGAGUAACACGUGGGUGCUCUGCCCUGCACUUCGGGAUAAGCCUGGGAAACUGGGUCUAAUACCGGAUAGGACCCUGGGAUGCAUGUCCUGGGGUGGAAAGCUUUUGCGGUGUGGGAUGGGCCCGCGGCCUAUCAGCUUGUUGGUGGGGUGAUGGCCUACCAAGGCGACGACGGGUAGCCGGCCUGAGAGGGUGACCGGCCACACUGGGACUGAGAUACGGCCCAGACUCCUACGGGAGGCAGCAGUGGGGAAUAUUGCACAAUGGGCGCAAGCCUGAUGCAGCGACGCCGCGUGAGGGAUGACGGCCUUCGGGUUGUAAACCUCUUUCAGCACCGACGAAGCGCAAGUGACGGUAGGUGCAGAAGAAGGACCGGCCAACUACGUGCCAGCCGCCGCAGUAA